CACUGUCCCUAUCUACUAUCUAGCGAAACCACAGCCAAGGGAACGGGCUUGGCAAAAUCAGCGGGGAAAGAAGACCCUGUUGAGCUUGACUCUAGUCUGACUCUGUGAAAAGACAUGAGAGGUGUAGAAUAAGUGGGAGUAGCAAUACGUCGGUGAAAUACCACUACUCUUAUCGUUUUUUUACUUAUUCGAUGAAGCGGAAGCGAACCGCAAGGUUCACGUUCUUUGGAUUACUCCGUGAACAUUGUAUCUAACCGUUGGGGGUCGCCCGCUUGGUGGCGUUAAAUAGCUUCAAUAGAACCGAUAGUUCCUAUUGCUAUCGUGUUUCUUUAAAAAAGAAGCAGCCCCUGCAUUUUUUGGUGAAAAAACUACACCUGUAUGACAACUAAACCACUUAUCUCCUCCUCCCCCCUAGGAGGAAGGUUAGGAGAAACGAGCGAAAAAAAAAAAAGAGAACAACUUUUAACGGUGAAUCUCUUGGCUCGUGCAUCGAUGAAGAACGCAGCCAGGUGCGAUAAGUAGUGUGAAUUGCAGAAUUCAGUGAAUCAUCGAAUCUUUGAACGCAAAUGGCGCUCUUGGGUUUUCCCAGGAGCAUGUCUGUCUGAGUGUCGGUUUCCAAAAAGAGAACUCUCUCUUCUAAUCCCAGAUUAGGGACAGAGUUGUGUUGAGGUGUCGUGGUGGUUGCACACCGCGUCCCUUCAAAAGCAUAUGUGGGAUCCGUGUCGCGGCAAUUCUACCGCGUGCCCGGGAAGGCCAAAAGUCCAAUUCUUUUGCGAGUCCUUGCUGUGUGCGGAUAGAUCGCGGAUAGCGGAGCCUCUCGGCAAAGCAAAUGACAGAUGUCAUUUUUCACGUUGACCUCAGAUCAGGCAAGGCUACCCGCUGAAUUUAAGCAUAUUAAUAAGCUGAGGAAAAGAAACUAACAAGGAUUCCCCUAGUAAUGGCGAAUGAAGCGGGAACAGCUCAAAUUUAAAAUCUCCGGGGGAUCCUCUAGAGU
rnacentral:ncRNA from 1 species